ensembl:lncRNA
GGGGGCGGUCUCUAGUGUCUAGGUGGGCGGUCUCUACUGUAUUGGUGGGCGGCCUCUAGAGUGUCUAAGUGGGCGGUCUCUAGUGUCUAGGUGGGCGGUCUCUAGUUUGUCUCGGUGGGUGGUCUCUAGUGUCUAGGUGGGCGGUCUCUAGUGUCUAGGUGGGCGGUCUCUAGUGUCUCGGUGGGCGGUCUCUAGUGUCUAGGUGGGCCAUCCCUAGUGUCUCGGUGGGCGGUCUCUAGUGUCUAGGUGGGCGGUCUCUAGUGUCUAGGUGGGCGGUCUCUACUGUCUCGGUGGGCGGUCUCUAGAGUGUCUAGGUGGGCGGUCUCUAGUGUCUAGGUGGGCGGUCUCUAGUGUGUCUAGGUGGGCGGUCUCUACUGUCUAGGCGGGCGGUCUCUAGUGUCU